rnacentral:rRNA from 1 species
AACGAACGCUGGCGGCAGGCUUAACACAUGCAAGUCGAGCGCCCCGCAAGGGGAGCGGCAGACGGGUGAGUAACGCGUGGGAAUCUACCCAUCCCUACGGAAUAGCUCCGGGAAACUGGAAUUAAUACCGUAUACGCCCUACGGGGGAAAGAUUUAUCGGGGAUGGAUGAGCCCGCGUUGGAUUAGCUAGUUGGUGGGGUAAAGGCCUACCAAGGCGACGAUCCAUAGCUGGUCUGAGAGGAUGAUCAGCCACAUUGGGACUGAGACACGGCCCAAACUCCUACGGGAGGCAGCAGUGGGGAAUAUUGGACAAUGGGGGCAACCCUGAUCCAGCCAUGCCGCGUGAGUGAUGAAGGCCUUAGGGUUGUAAAGCUCUUUCACCGGGGAAGAUAAUGGCGGUACCCAGAGAAGAAGCCCCGGCUAACUUCGUGCCAGCAGCCGCAGUAA